AUUGAACGCUGGCGGCAGGCCUAACACAUGCAAGUCGAGCGGAUGAAGGGAGCUUGCUCCUGGAUUCAGCGGCGGACGGGUGAGUAAUGCCUAGGAAUCUGCCUUGUAGUGGGGGAUAACGUCCGGAAACGGGCGCUAAUACCGCAUACGUCCUGAGGUAGAAAGUGGGGGACCUUCGGACCUCACGCUAUCAGAUGAGCCUAGGUCGGAUUAGCUAGUUGGUGGGGUAAAGGCCUACCAAGGCGACGAUCCGUAACUGGUCUGAGAGGAUGAUCAGUCACACUGGAACUGAGACACGGUCCAGACUCCUACGGGAGGCAGCAGUGGGGAAUAUUGGACAAUGGGCGAAAGCCUGAUCCAGCCAUGCCGCGUGUGUGAAGAAGGUCUUCGGAUUGUAAAGCACUUUAAGUUGGGAGGAAGGGCAGUAAGUUAAUACCUUGCUGUUUUGACGUUACCAACAGAAUAAGCACCGGCUAACUUCGUG
rnacentral:rRNA from 1 species